rnacentral:rRNA from 1 species
CAAUAGCGUAUAUUAAAGCUGUUGCGGUUAAAAGCUCGUAGUUGGAUUUCUGUCAAGGACAACUGGUCCGCCCUCCGGGUGAGCACAUAGUUUGGUCUUGACAUCUUGCUGGAAGCUGUUGCUGCACUUGGCUGUGUGGCGCAGUGUUCAGCACUUUCACUUUGAGGAAAUUGGAGUGUUUCAAGCAGGCACAUGCCUUUGGACACAGUAGCAUGGAAUAAUUAGAUUGGGCUUUUGCUCCAAUUUGUCGGUUUCUGGAGCUGAGGUGAGUAUUAAUGGGGAUUGUUGGGGGCAUCCGAAUUUAGCCGUCAGAGGUGAAAUUCUUGGAUCUGCUAAAGACGGACAACUGCGAAAGCGUUUGCCCAGGAUGUUUNCAUUGA